GCGCUCGUAGCUCAGUGGAUAGAGCACAGGCCUCCGAAGCCUGAUGUCGUGGGUUCAAAUCCCGUCGAGCGCGCCA
rnacentral:tRNA from 1 species